rnacentral:rRNA from 1 species
AUUGAACGCUGGCGGCAGGCCUAACACAUGCAAGUCGAGCGAGCGGCGGACGGGUGAGUAAUGUCUGGGAAACUGCCUGUUGGAGGGGGAUAACUACUGGAAACGGUAGCUAAUACCGCAUACCAUUGGAUGUGCCCAGAUGGGAUUAGCUAGUAGGUGGGGUAACGGCUCAACUAGGCGACGAUCCCUAGCUGGUCUGAGAGGAUGACCAGCCACACUGGAACUGAGACACGGUCCAGACUCCUACGGGAGGCAGCAGUGGGGAAUAUUGCACAAUGGGCGCAAGCCUGAUGCAGCAAUGCCGCGUGUAUGAAGAAGGUCUUCGGGUUGUAAAGUACUUUCAGCGGGGAGGCGUUACCCACAGAGGAAGCACCGGCUAACUCCGUGCCAGCAGCCGCGGUAAUAC